rnacentral:rRNA from 1 species
UACGGAGGGUGCGAGCGUUGUCCGGAAUCACUGGGCGUAAAGGGCGCGUAGGUGGCCUGUGGAAGUCUGCGGUGAAAGCCCGGCGCUCAACGCCGGGUCGGCCGUGGAUACUCUCGGGCUUGAGCUUACUAGAGGCAGAUGGAAUUCCGGGUGUAGCGGUGGAAUGCGUAGAGAUCCGGAAGAACACCAGUGGCGAAGGCGACUCUUUGGCCUGUAACUGACGCUGAGGCGCGAAAGCGUGGGGAGCAAACAGG